UGCAGUCGAGCGGUAGAGAGGUGCUUGCACCUCUUGAGAGCGGCGGACGGGUGAGUAAUACCUAGGAAUCUGCCUGAUAGUGGGGGAUAACGUUCGGAAACGGACGCUAAUACCGCAUACGUCCUACGGGAGAAAGCAGGGGACCUUCGGGCCUUGCGCUAUCAGAUGAGCCUAGGUCGGAUUAGCUAGUUGGUGAGGUAAUGGCUCACCAAGGCUACGAUCCGUAACUGGUCUGAGAGGAUGAUCAGUCACACUGGAACUGAGACACGGUCCAGACUCCUACGGGAGGCAGCAGUGGGGAAUAUUGGACAAUGGGCGAAAGCCUGAUCCAGCCAUGCCGCGUGUGUGAAGAAGGUCUUCGGAUUGUAAAGCACUUUAAGUUGGGAGGAAGGGCAUUAACCUAAUACGUUGAUGUCUUGACGUUACCGACAGAAUAAGCACCGGCUAACUCUGUGCCAGCAGCCGCGGUAAUACAGAGGGUGCAAGCGUUAAUCGGAAUUACUGGGCGUAAAGCGCGCGUAGGUGGUUUGUUAAGUUGAAUGUGAAAUCCCCGGGCUCAACCUGGGAACUGCAUCCAAAACUGGCAAGCUAGAGUAUGGUAGAGGGUAGUGGAAUUUCCUGUGUAGCGGUGAAAUGCGUAGAUAUAGGAAGGAACACCAGUGGCGAAGGCGACUACCUGGACUGAUACUGACACUGAGGUGCGAAAGCGU
rnacentral:rRNA from 1 species